rnacentral:rRNA from 1 species
GUAAUGCGCAGGAAUAUGCCUUGAAGAGGGGGAUAACUUGGGGAAACUCAAGCUAAUACCGCAUGUGCUCUGAGGAGCGAAGCUGGGGACCUUCGGGCCUGGCGCUUUGAGAAUAGCCUGCGUCUGAUUAGCUAGUUGGUGGGGUAAAGGCCUACCAAGGCGACGAUCGGUAGCUGGUCUGAGAGGAUGAACAGCCACACUGGGACUGAGACACGGCCCAGACUCCUACGGGAGGCAGCAGUGGGGAAUAUUGGACAAUGGGGGCAACCCUGAUCCAGCAAUGCCGCGUGUGUGAAGAAGGCCUGAGGGUUGUAAAGCACUUUCAGUGGGGAGGAGGGUUAUUAGGUUAAGAGCUGAAUAACUGGACGUUACCCACAGAAGAAGCACCGGCUAACUCCGUGCCAGCAGCCGCGGUAAUACGGAGGGUGCGAGCGUUAAUCGGAAUGACUGGGCGUAAAGGGUGCGUAGGUGGUUUGUUAAGUUAUUGGUGAAAUCUCUGGGCUUAACCUAGGGUUGACGAAUGAUACUGAUGAACUCGAGUAUGGGAGAGGGUAGUGGAAUUUCCGGUGUAGCGGUGAAAUGCGUAGAGAUCGGAAGGAACACCAGUUGCGAAGGCGGCUACCUGGCCUGUUACUGACACUGAGGCA